rnacentral:rRNA from 1 species
CCGAACCGACUUACGUUGAAAAGUGAGCGGAUGAACUGAGGGUAGCGGAGAAAUUCCAAUCGAACCUGGAGAUAGCUGGUUCUCUCCGAAAUAGCUUUAGGGCUAGCCUCAAGUGAUGAUUAUUGGAGGUAGAGCACUGUUUGGACGAGGGGCCCCUCUCGGGUUACCGAAUUCAGACAAACUCCGAAUGCCAAUUAAUUUAACUUGGGAGUCAGAACAUGGGUGAUAAGGUCCGUGUUCGAAAGGGAAACAGCCCAGACCACCAGCUAAGGUCCCAAAAUAUAUGUUAAGUGGAAAAGGAUGUGGCGUUGCCCAGACAACUAGGAUGUUGGCUUAGAAGCAGCCAUCAUUUAAAGAGUGCGUAAUAGCUCACUAGUCGAGUGACACUGCGCCGAAAAUGUACCGGGGCUAAACAUAUUACCGAAGCUGUGGAUUGUCCUUUGGACAAUGGUAGGAGAGCGUUCUAAGGGCGUUGAAGCAUGAUCGUAAGGACAUGUGGAGCGCUUAGAAGUGAGAAUGCCGGUGUGAGUAGCGAAAGACGGGUGAGAAUCCCGUCCACCGAUUGACUAAGGUUUCCAGAGGAAGGCUCGUCCGCUCUGGGUUAGUCGGGUCCUAAGCUGAGGCCGACAGGCGUAGGCGAUGGAUAACAGGUUGAUAUUCCUGUACCACCUAUA